rnacentral:rRNA from 2 species
UUGACCUCGGAUCAGGUAGGGAUACCCGCUGAACUUAAGCAUAUCAAUAAGCGGAGGAAAAGAAACCAACCGGGAUUACCCUAGUAACGGCGAGUGAAGCGGUAAGAGCUCAAAUUUGAAAGCUGGCUCCUUCGGGGUCCGCAUUGUAAUUUGCAGAGGAUGCUUCGGGAGCGGUCCCCAUCUAAGUGCCCUGGAACGGGCCGUCAUA